GACGAACGCUGGCGGCGUGCUUAACACAUGCAAGUCGAACGGAAAGGCCCUGCUUUUGUGGGGUGCUCGAGUGGCGAACGGGUGAGUAACACGUGAGUAACCUGCCCUUGACUUUGGGAUAACUUCAGGAAACUGGGGCUAAUACCGGAUAGGAGCUCCUGCUGCAUGGUGGGGGUUGGAAAGUUUCGGCGGUUGGGGAUGGACUCGCGGCUUAUCAGCUUGUUGGUGGGGUAGUGGCUUACCAAGGCUUUGACGGGUAGCCGGCCUGAGAGGGUGACCGGCCACAUUGGGACUGCGAUACGGCCCAGACUCCUACGGUAGGCAGCAGUGGGGAAUAUUGCACAAUGGGCGGAAGCCUGAUGCAGCAACGCCGCGGGCGGGAUGACGGCCUUCGGGUUGUAAACCGCUUUCGCCUGUGACGAAGCGUGAGUGACGGUAAUGGGUAAAGAAGCACCGGCUAACUACGUG
rnacentral:rRNA from 1 species